AUUGAACGCUGGCGGAAUGCUUUACACAUGCAAGUCGAACGAUGAACCUUAGCUUGCUAAGGGGAUUAGUGGCGAACGGGUGAGUAAUGUACCGGAACGUAUCCAAUAAUGGGGGAUAACUAGUCGAAAGAUUAGCUAAUACCGCAUACGUCCUACGGGAGAAAGCUAGGGACCUUCGGGCCUGCGUUAAUGGAGCGGCCGAUAUCCGAUUAGCUAGUUGGUGGGGUAAAGGCUCACCAAGGCGACGAUCAGUAGCUGGUCUGAGAGGACGACCAGCCACACUGGUACUGAGACACGGUCCAGACUCCUACGGGAGGCAGCAGUGGGGAAUUUUGGACAAUGGGCGAAAGCCUGAUCCAGCCAUUCCGCGUGAGUGAAGAAGGCCUUCGGGUUGUAAAGCUCUUUCGCAAGAGAAGAAAACUUAAGCUCUAACAUAGCUUGAGGUUGACGGUACCUUGAUAAGAAGCACCGGCUAACUACGUGCCAGCAGCCGCAGUAA
rnacentral:rRNA from 1 species